AGUACACCAGCACGCGUUUGAAAGGCGUUGUAAAGCGUUCUCUCUCUCACUUUCAAAGGCAAUGCCACAAACACGUGUACGGCGCUAAUUAUCUAAUGCAAUACAAGCGCCCUUUAGUUAUUUUUACCCAUAGCUUCCUACACCCGAGGGGUCCCUUCGAACCCCCAUUUUGUAAAACGAGUAGGAAAUGAUCGCAAAGGGGAAGCUUCCAGUAUUAAAAUACCCCCCCACACGCCACAGACCCAACGAAGCAAACGAUCGCGCAAAAACAGCACACACGUGCGGCGGGCGCUCCCACCCUGCGGCGCUCUGAUUGGAGAAGACAACAAAACAACGCUCCAGUGAAGCCACGGAUUUCUGGUCGGAGAGUUGACGUAAGACACCGGAACAACAAUAACAAUCUAAAUAAAGCGCGUCAUGUACAACUGUACGUGUUCUUUGGGCGAUUUACCGUGUCAACAAAAGGGUGUACAAUUUGCAACGGGACACAGUCACACACACACACACAAACACACAGAGACACUCGCGUACCAACCCUUCCAGUUGCGGUAAUUUUGCACCAAUCUACCCAGUUACGGGGUUGGAGAAAGUGAAACGAAGAUAAAAACAAUUGCAAUGCACGGAAGACACAUUGAUAAGCGUGUGUGGUGAACGAUCUUCAGGCUGAGCUUCUAUCUCUCCGUGAUUCAGGUGGCCUGCCUCUAAGCCUGCUACAAUUCAAGACGCACACACACACAUAAACAUAAGCACGACCGCAGCAGCCGUCGCUGAUGGAAGGAGAGUCUGAGGUCA